CAGAGGGUGCGAGCGUUGUCCGGAAUCACUGGGCGUAAAGGGCGCGUAGGCGGCUUUUCAAGCGUGCGGUGAAAGCUCGGGGCUUAACUCCGAGUCUGCCGUGCGAACUGGGAGGCUUGAGUCUGGUAGAGGUCGAUGGAAUUCCGGGUGUAGCGGUGGAAUGCGUAGAGAUCCGGAAGAACACCGGUGGCGAAGGCGGUCGACUGGGCCAGAACUGACGCUGAGGCGCGACAGCGUGGGGAGCAAACAGGAUUAGAUACCCUGGUAGUCCACGCCGUAAACGAUGGGCACUAGGUCCUUGGGGGAGCGACCCCUUGAGGGCCGGCGCUAACGCAUUAAGUGCCCCGCCUGGGGAGUACGGCCGCAAGGCUG
rnacentral:rRNA from 1 species